rnacentral:rRNA from 1 species
AGUGAACGCUGGCGGUAGGCCUAACACAUGCAAGUCGAACGGCAGCACAGAGGAGCUUGCUCCUUGGGUGGCGAGUGGCGGACGGGUGAGGAAUACAUCGGAAUCUACUCUGUCGUGGGGGAUAACGUAGGGAAACUUACGCUAAUACCGCAUACGACCUACGGGUGAAAGCAGGGGAUCUUCGGACCUUGCGCGAUUGAAUGAGCCGAUGUCGGAUUAGCUAGUUGGCGGGGUAAAGGCCCACCAAGGCGACGAUCCGUAGCUGGUCUGAGAGGAUGAUCAGCCACACUGGAACUGAGACACGGUCCAGACUCCUACGGGAGGCAGCAGUGGGGAAUAUUGGACAAUGGGCGCAAGCCUGAUCCAGCCGUACCGCGUGGGUGAAGAAGGCCUUCGGGUUGUAAGGCCCUUUUGUUGGGAAAGAAAUCCAUCUGGUUAAUACCCGGGUGGGAUGACGGUACCCAAAGAAUAAGCACCGGCUAACUUCGUGCCAGCAGCCGCGGUAA